AUUGAACGCUGGCGGCAGGCCUAACACAUGCAAGUCGAGCGGAUGAGGGAAGCUUGCUUCCCGAUUUAGCGGCGGACGGGUGAGUGAUGCCUAGGAAUCUGCCUAUUAGUGGGGGAUAACGUUCCGAAAGGAACGCUAAUACCGCAUACGUCCUACGGGAGAAAGUGGGGGAUCUUCGGACCUCACGCUAACAGAUGAGCCUAGGUCGGAUUAGCUAGUAGGUGAGGUAAUGGCUCACCUAGGCGACGAUCCGUAACUGGUCUGGGAGGAUGAUCAGUCACACGGGAACUGAGACACGGUCCAGACUCCUACGGGAGGCAGCAGUGGGGAAUAUUGGACAAUGGGCGAAAGCCUGAUCCAGCCAUGCCGCGUGUGUGAAGAAGGUCUUCGGAUUGUAAAGCACUUUAAGUUGGGAGGAAGGGUAUUCACCUAAUACGUGGGUACUUUGACGUUACCAACAGAAUAAGCACCGGCUAACUCUGUGCCAGCCGCCGCCGUAAAAC
rnacentral:rRNA from 1 species